ensembl:lncRNA
CCGUGUGGAGCAGCAGCAGCCCCUGACGGAGGAUGGCAGCGCUGCCUUCUGCUGCCGCCCGGCCGUGAGCGCAGCGCUGCUGAGCGGCGCCCGUCGGAGCGCUGUCCUGGUCCGGCUCGCCUCCUCCUCGGCCGAGCUCAGCCCGCAGCGUUUCAAUGCGGGGUUCGGCAUUACGGCGGCGCCCGCGGCACGGAGCAGCCCGGCCGCUUCCUAUGGGAUGCGUCUGCAUAAAGGAAGAAUCCUUCUAAGAUGGGGAACAAGCAGACGAUAUUCACCGAUGAGCAGCUGGACGCCUACCAGGAUUGCACAUUCUUCACUCGGAAAGAAAUCCUUCGGUAAGUGAGUUAAAUUAAGUUCUUCUCUAUAAUUCCUGUGGAAAAAGUUGAAUCUUUCUUGCUGACUAAUGAGGAAGUUUUGGAUAACAGGGUGAGUAUAGGAUUGGACUCAGGAUACAUGCAGCAUAUGUGGAUGUAUGUAAGGAGAAAUAUGUCAGGUCGAUGUCCAUCCCAUGGGUUUUUCUAGGGAUCGGUAGAGGCUGUGACUGUACGAGAGGAAUGUACUGCUUUUCUGCUCAGGUAUUAAGUGAGGGCUCCUGUGGGUGUUGGUAUGGGGUAAACUGGUGGAACGUAACAUAAACACGGAGAUGUGUCAUUUGGUUUGUUUCUGUGGGAACAGUCAUUAAGGCUGGGAUCGCAGUUAAGCAGUACUGGGUCUCACUGCUUGAAGUACAUCACAUUGCUUUGUUUCAGUUGUGGUGGGCUGAGUCAAACCAAACUCAUUCCUGUCUGUCUGUGCUGACUUCUUGCCCUGGAGCCUGCCAUAUAAUCUUGAUCUUCUAACAUUCAGAUUAGGAUCUGUGCAAGUUCCACGUAGGUCUUUUCCUGUCAGUCCACUCGUGUUUUUGUUUUCCCUGAGGAUUUUUGCCCUAACAAGGAGGGAGGAUACAUCUGUGGUUUGUGUCUGGACGUCAGAGCUCACAGUGUUCCAGGACUCUCAGAUUUGAACAGUUUCUGAGAUGUGAGAGGUAUCAGGGAAACAGCUUUUGUUUUCAUAAACACUGGGAACUUCUCUCAAGUCAAAAACAGAUGUGGUCUCUGUGAGCAAUGCUCUCUGCCUCAGUUCUGUUGGCAUAAACCUCAGUAAGACACUCAGUAAUUCUGUCAAGGCAAAAAGUAACGGUAUGGUAUUAGAUGGGAUAAUUUAUUUUUCAGUGGUAUUUGAGCUGACUUCUUGCUCACAAAGAAGCACCCUCUCCUGGUCAGUGGAUAAUGGCUCUGAGACCAGUGUGCAGUAGGGACAUAGCAAUGCCAGGGCUGAGUUUGGUCCAGGUACCUUUUAUCUAAUUGUUAUGGUUCAAAAUUAAGUGCAGUGUUGUUUCACAUCAAGUUAUAAUGUGACUGAACCAGCCAGAGCUUGUGUGGUGGGCCUAAACGUGAGCUUAGUGCAGGCUGGCCUCACUGGAGAGGCUGGUCUUAAAGUAAGUCAAGGCUUCAUAAGUGUAGGUAACUGUACCAUGGAGGUGGCAGGAAUGACAGACAAUUGUUAGCUAUAAAGAGGUAUCAUGCUGUGUUUUUGUACCCUACAAAAGGCCUGCAGCUCAAAUAACCAGAGUGGCCAUUGUAUGUUCUGUCAGGGCUGUAAUGUUAAGGAACACCGGCUUUGACAACAGCAGAAUUUGUCAUCGUAGUUGUCUGACAGCAGUUGUCAGUGGUAUUCCUGUAGUGUCAUUAGAUGCAGUAGUUGGAUACUGAAUAAACAAUGUUCACACGUAGCCA